AUGGGAUUGCAGGCUGCGCUGCUGACCUCUGCCGCAUUGACUACGGAGGUCGAUGCUUUGAAGCAGGACCUCGAGCGGACCGAGAACGAGCUCGGCCUUGCCAAGAGGCAGCUCGAGGACAAAGAAGGGGCCACGAACGAGGUGGCGACCCUUAAGGAGGCCGUGUCCGCGGCCGAACGUAAUGCGGCCGCGGAACGAGCGGAGCGAGAGAAGCAGGAGGCGCGGGUGGCGGAGGUGCCGCAAGAGCUCCAUGCUCUCAUGGACAAGCAUGAGAGUUUGGAGCGCGACUCGAAGACUCGAGAGUCCGAGCUUGCCUCGGCUCUUGAGAGUGCCAAAGCCGCGAAGGCCGAGGCCCAUAAGGCCCUCCAGGAGAUUGAGGCGGUGAAGAAAAUAGCGGUGGGUAAGGCAUUUUUCAUGCAAUGCAAGCAUGUGAGGUUGAAUUACCUGUUACUUACCCGGAUUCGGAGCUCUCCAGGAGCGUUUGCAGAUCUGCCUCGCAGCGUGUCCGAUGCCGCCGCAUUCUACCGGGCCGAGGAGGGGAGCUCAACGGAGAAGGUCUUCUGGUCUCAGUAUGCUGAGGCCGGACAUCCGGUGCCCCUUAGAGACCAGCUGAAGCAGCUGGUCGAGCUCCACAAGGUAGCCGAGCAGGCCAUGAAGGGCCUCAUAGUCCGGCUGUGGCCUGAAGAGGCCAUGCCUGGGAGCUACUUCGGCCUCGUGCGGCGGCUGGUGGAUGCGUGCCCUUGGGUGGAAGUCAUCAAGCGCUCCGCCUGCAUCGAAGGUGCCCGUCGGGCCCUUGCCCGCGCAAAGGUGCACUGGGGCAGGCUGGAUGCUGAGAGGCUUCUGACAGACGCGCCGCCGGCGGGCAAGGAGUAUCGUACGCCCGAAAUGUAUUAUAAGAGUGUCCUGAAGGGUGCCCGCAAAAUUGCGGACGAGUGCCCCAAAGAUGUAAUAUUUGAGUAG
rnacentral:rRNA from 1 species